rnacentral:rRNA from 1 species
GACGAACCGUCCUAACGUUGUUCGGAAUCACUGGGCUUAAAGGGCGCGUAGGCGGCUUGCCAAGUCAGGGGUGAAAUCCUGCAGCUUAACUGUAGAAGGGCCUUUGAUACUGGCGAGCUCGAGGGAGGUAGGGGUAUGUGGAACUGACGGUGUAGCGGUGAAAUGCUUAGAUAUCGUCAAGAACACCUAUUGCGAAGGCAGCUAACUAAGCUUAAACUGACGCUGAGGCACGAAAGUGUGGGGAUCAAACAGG